UUUAAGUAAUAAAAAAAGAAAAAGUUGUUCAGGGGAUUCCUCCGAGCCUCGGAAAGCACUAAUGCUUUCAUAGCUUCUAACUGGUUAUACCGUUAGUAAAGCCCCAAUUUAAUAUAAAUCAUAGUAACUUACAAUACGGUUCAAUUUCAUUUAACCAACUAUUAUAAAUAUUUUGUUAGGACUUGCAAGUAUAAAUACUAGUCUUUUAUGUUUAGGAAUCAUUCGUUAAACGACAAUAAGCAACUGAAGUCUCUUUUGAAACUAAAAAUGAAUUUUGCAAAGAUAUUUGUUUUCUUAUUCGUUUGUGUUGCGGCUGUUAUGACUGUUAACGCUGAUCCAGCGCCAAGAUGGAAACCGUUUAAGAAACUGGAAAAACUAGGACAGCGAGUAAGGGAUGGUAUCAUCAAAGCGGGGCCAGCAGUUGGAGUCAUAGGUCAAGCCAGCACAAUAAUUAAAGGCUAAUGUUAAUUACGUAAGCGUAAAGUGAACCAAUAAUGUUAUUUUAAAUUAUAAGAAUUAAAUUAUUAUCAUUGCAGA